ACAGCCAAACCAUGCUGAAUAUGCCGGUUCUCGUUAGAUCACCGAAGUCAAGCAUCAUUGGGCGCGGUCAGUACUUGGGUGGGUGACCACCUGGGAACACCGCGUGCCGUU
rnacentral:rRNA from 1 species